AACCAGGAGCCUUUAGACUCUGGUUUAUGGAAUCCUCUAUUAAGGCUCCCUUCCUCAUAGGAAAAAAGAAUUAACUACAAAUCAUCCAAAUACCGUUACCAAAAGAUGUCCUUUUCUAGGACGAAGGCAAUAUCUAUCAAAAAGAUCACAUUUCAGAAAUAAGCUAAAAAGUUGGGGCAGAUUUUAAAGCACAGGCCUCAUGAAUCAGCUCACAGUCAACAUUUUCUUGACUGACACAUCCAGGGAAGAUUGCCAUGAAACAAGACAACACGUUGAAAAUAACAUUAUCUAAGCAGCCUCACGUCUGGAUUUUGGCAGAGCUAGAAGAAUAUAAGAUCCCUGCUACUAAGACAUGAGCGAGUUCAAACCAGACUCCUGGGAGGCGAGGAACCACAAAGAGGACCAGUGACCCUUUCCACUUGAGACCAUCCUAGACCAACCAACGCCUCAGCUUCUCUUCCACUGACCACAGACACAGCAUUGAUCCCAGCCAGGAUCAGUCUAACCUAGCCCAGUUCUGCAGAAACACCCGGCCAAUUGAUCCUCAAGCUAUAAGUGAUGGUUUUUGUCCUAAAUCAAUUAGAUUUGGAUGAUUGCUUAUGGAAGAUGCCUCAUCAUGAAUUCAAAGCUUUAAAGGAGUCACCAUUUCAGUUUCAUAUGGGGCAGAUGGAUGGAUUUGGGUUGUUGAACUUCGGAAGAAAAGGGGUGAAGCCCUGAAA